UACAGGGGGGGCAAGCGUUGUUCGGAAUUACUGGGCGUAAAGGGUCUGUAGGUGGCUUGCUAAGUCAGACGUGGAAUCCCUCAGCUUAACUGGGGAACUGCGUCUGAUACUGGCAAGCUUGAGUGCAGGAGAGGAACGCGGAAUUCCAGGUGUAGCGGUGAAAUGCGUAGAUAUCUGGAGGAACACCGGUGGCGAAGGCGGCGUUCUGGACUGCAACUGACACUGAGAGACGAAAGCCAGGGGAGCAAACGGG
rnacentral:rRNA from 1 species